CUAGCUUGAAAGUCUUUAAACUAUCUUUUUUCUUAAUAGGACAAUCUCGUGCCAUAUGUCUUAUUCUACAGCAUGAAAAGCAUGCUCUCAGCUUUCUGAGACAAGGUCCAUAAUAAUUUUUAUCAUAAUAUUCAUAGAUCAUAGCUUCUAUAUUAUUCUCUGCAAUAUUAGUAAAUUUUUUCUGUUGAUCAUUUAAAUUUUCUAUUGGUCUCAAUCUCUUUUUGUUACUCCUCUCCUGUUCUGAUAUUUUUAUCUCAAAUUUUACUUUCAAAGUUCGUUCUAACACAUCUUUAUA
rnacentral:lncRNA from 1 species